AGAGAAAAUUGCAUAAAUCCAAAUGGCUUUGCUUCAGGAGAAAAUUAUUGCAUGGAAGCUGAAUGGUUCAAAUACUAGGUGCUUGGGACUCAAGAAGAGUUGGUGGUGAAUCGGCUGAGCAAAGGGUGAAGGUGAAGAUCAUUAGAUGUUCCAGCACUGGCGGAGACUGUUGGGGUUGUGUAACUGUGCCUGGAGGGGCGGGGUUUCCUGUACAUUCCUACCUCACUGAAUAACCUGCGCUCAACUCUACUCCAGUUUACUCCCAAACAGACUGGACCCUUCACUUAAGAAAAAUGAGCACAGCCAUCUCACCUAACAGGGACGCUGUGAGGCAUGGACCGCAAAUCACUGGCAUAAACAUUCCGGGCUCUGACUGUCCCUUACCCACCGAAUCGAUGUUUUGCAGGCAAUACAGGUGCUACCUGGCAAACUGGAUGGGGAGUCCUCAGGAGCUCCUUGAUUGGAAGCACCAAAGAGAAGACUUGGAUGAACCUUUAAUUUUGUGCUUUAAUUCAUAUUAUUGCUCCUGACAAGACAAGUGCUACAUUGAAGCUCUGAACAGAAUUCUUCAUUGGUUAGAACUAUGAAAAUUGAUCAUAUGAUUAUUCACUUCCCAUCAAAGGAUACCUACUCUUUACAUUGGUUUUCUUCAUAUCAACCAGAGUUUAAAACCAAAAGAAACUCCAAUACAAUGGAAAUUAGUUGGAACUGCCCAGAAAGUCCAGACGGGAAAAAAAAAAAGACAUCUCCAUUCCUGGUGCAUCAGUUAUCUGAGAAAAUUGCUUCAAAUUAUUUUUUCUAGUAUAUCUGAGUUUGUUUUUUCUCUUACUCAUCUUUCAGAGUCAUGAUUCGCUUCAUUAAAUUGUAUAGUCAGAUAUUAUCAUCAUGUGAAUCUAUUGUAUAUCACAAAUUUGUUUUAUUUUUCUCACUGCUUUUAAAGAUAAGGGAAUAAUUAAAAAAAGGAAAA
rnacentral:lncRNA from 1 species